GGCGCGGCCGCCUCGUCGCUGUCUCGCGCUUGGCGCCAAAAGCGGCGGAGCGCCGCGGGCCGAGGGAGCGGGCUGGGGGCUGAGCGGCCGCGGCCUCUCGCGGGCGGGGCCGGCCGCUCCGUGCCGAGCGGAGGCAUGUCGGUGGCUCCACGGUGUGCCCGUGGCUGCCCCGGGCCGCGGCUGCUCUUCAGGCGCCGCUCGGCCCACCUUUCCCUCGGCUCUUGGUUCCUAAGUUGGCAUGGUGGCCAGGGCUGUCCUGUGUGGUAAAUGGUAAAAUGGGGGAAACGGUGUAUGGUGGCCCUGUGGCAGGUUGUGGCCUUUCUGCAGCCAGGUUCGCUUCUACGCGUUGAUAUCUAGGUGUUUUGCCUUCGCUGCUGGCAGAUGAGUUUCUCAAAAUUGGAUAUCCAUAUAAACCUUCAGCAGAAGCCUUGAGGUGCGGAUCGAAGGGGCCUUGCAACCGACCUUAGGGAAUAAUUCCCUGUGAAAUGUCUUUGUACUGCCGUAUUCCUUCCUCUUUCCAAUGUGUCUGGAAAGUCACUGGUAAAGUGCGAUCCAUCCAUCCCUUUUGGGCCUGCGUUUUCUGCCAUGUGUGUCCAAGUACAGGUGUCCAAGAAGUACCAUCCAUUUGCCCGCACUGCAUCCUACUGAUAAUUCUUGGUUACAGACCAGCUGAAAGCGUCUUGUUUGCAGUUUGUAACACUGUUGAUGAAUUUUUGCAGAGGUCCACGGGAACGUGUCUGACUCGAGGGCAUGAGGAACUGGCUGAGGGCACCAGAACUGUGUGGAACGGGGGGGAUGAGCCCUGCCACUCACAGGGAAGGGUCCUGCUGCCAGAUUAUUGCUCGUAGAAUUGCUGAGGUUGGAAAAGACCUUCAAGAUCAUCAAGUCACAGGAGAAUGAGGAGCUCUCAGGUACUUCUGGAGUGAUUGUGUGGGCAGGAAUUUUCCUUUCUAGACCUGUGCUCCGUUUCCCUGCAGUGUCUUCCUAAGUUAAACUGGAAGCCUUGGCUGUCUGCAGCCUAUGUGAAAUCAGCUCGGAAGGAUGGCAGUGAAAAUGGCUGAGAGCUGUAGGAAAAGCUUGGGGGAAUCUAAUGCUUUUGGAAUCUAGAGUGGUGCCGGGCAAGGGGCUUAGGUCUGAUUCUAAGUCCUUGUUUGUUUGUUUGUUUGUUUGUUUUUUAAAAAAGAUUAUCUCCAGGCUUAAGUUGGAUUGGGGAAUUUGCAGUAGACAAGUGACUCUAAGAGCAGCGUAUAGAAGUCAGUUUUAAGAUUUUAAAACGUAAAUGUACUGAUUUUUAAAACAAAUGAUAGAAAGUCAACUAUUUAAUAUUUCUUCCUAAUGUCAGUGCCGUUUAGAUUAGAUUUCUGAAAGCAGGACUCAAACUAGCUAUCAACCCUUACUUGCUGUCAAAAACAUGCAAAAAUACAUAUUGUCAAAACUAUUAUACUUUUAAGGAACUUGUUUUUUAAUUCUUACAUUAGACGCUUUGCUUCCUAAAGCAAAUGAUGAAUAUAAGCAAUUUGAUGUAGAUUCCUCAUUUUUAAUAUACUUGUAUAUAUAACACAAUAAAUCAGAAAUUCUGAAAGAUUGUUCUGUUACUUAAAAAGAAAAGCAUAUGUCAAGAACCUAUAUGAGCUAUCUGCAAUUUAAAUAGAAAAAGAGAGAAUGGAAGUUACUAAAAAUAAAACAAGAAAUAAAUUUGAAGUGACCCUUUGGAAUUUUCUUUAUGAACUAAGUAUAAAUCUAGGAAGACGCUAAGCAGAUUUCUCUGUUGGGCAGAACUGAAGUCAUGUGGAUGUCAUCGUUUGACAUUUCUCUGAAGUUCCCCUUUUUAAAUGUUUUAAGUAUUAGUGUAUUCUUGAAAGGCAGCAUUUUAUGUAAAUGGUUAGUUUGACCUAGUGUCAUAACAUCUUGUUGUCUUGUUGUUAAAGGUUUUUCACAAACUGGCACCAGCUCUACCUAGAAACUUUUAUACAGCAAGUAUAGUAGGCAAAAAGAUGAAAGAGAAAAGGGCUUCUGUCCCUCACGUUGCUUUUUGUCCAAGUUAAGAGCAAGUGCAGUGCAGAGCUCAAGUGUGCAGUUCUAUCAGUUUUAUUUUCCACCAAAGAAUAAGAUAAACUUUUCUAUCAUAAAGUAUGUGUACUCUGUAACUAAUAUGUAGUUAGACGUCACAGUUAAAAGAUUUCACUCAGAGCUCGGGUUUGCUUGUUUAAUUAAAAUUUUAUCUUGAGCAAGCUGUUCAUGUAGCUGAGCACUUCACUGUGUGGACCAAGAUCUCUGCAUCUUUUUACAGACUUCAGAUAAAAAGUGAAGUUAGUAAUUACUGUGGAGUAAUGUUUGAAGAUUCUUAAUUCUCAGGAUUUUGUAUCUGGAGUACAAAGAAGAAGAAGUAGAAAGCUGAGUAUUGCAGAAGAGGUUUACAGUAGAUUUUGGCUUUUACAGACACAGUUAGCCAGCAAGUAUGAGAAAUUUGGCCGUUCUUCAGCAGCGAUGUUGUCCUUAGCCGCUAAACGUAGAUGAAGCUCUGCAGUAGGCUGUUCUGUUCCUGGUAAGAUUUGCCCCUCUCUCUGACUGUAGUUUCUGGUAUCAACACAAAGCACAACUUGCUGACAUACUGUAGUCCACAGCAGAAGUGUUUUGCCAGCGUACUGGUAUUAAAAUGUCAGAGGGCUCUUAAGAUAGCUAUUAGUUUAGAUGCUGUUAGUCAGAUAUACACUGUUUUGAAAUGAAUCUUAGGAAAAUCAUGAUCAGCUAAGUUAUUUGAGAGGAGUAGGCGCAAAUUUUGUAAUCAUGGUCUGAUUAGGCAGUGGCCUGUCUCCACAGAAGAGAAGCAGUGGGAUACACACUUCUGCACCAUUUGAAAUUCUAAAGGGCAAAAACAAACUGUGUGGUUCUGAUACCAGACCCAGUUAAGGGAGGUAUGAACACUUAGCUGCCUAUUAGUCUGAAUACACACAACUAGAUUUCUGAAUGUGCAAACAUAAAGACUUCAGAUAAUCUGACCUGUAGUACUCUUAAUCUAAAUGAACAGUCCUGAAAUCUGCUUGCAGGUAUGAUUGCAGCUGGUAGCGUCUGGUUUGUUGCCUUUGCUUGUUUGACCUUCACCCUUCUAAUUUCAGCAUGCAGCUAAGAUCUGACUUGGACUCCCCUGCUUUUACAGCUGUAGCCAGGUUCACAUGAUCCCUUGGGUUUUAAUGGCUGGCUCUGUCUUAUUAUUAGAUGAUUUUCCUAGACCUCAAAUUUUACUGAGUCCCUACUUGGCGAAAUUUGUGCUGGAAUUUACUGACUUUUAAUCCCUCAUCCCUCCCCCUUUUUUUUUUUUCUGGAAUGUAUUUCAUUCAAUGUUUUGAGUGUUGUUGUUGCUUUUUUAAUAUAUUUUAGACUACCAUUACGAGCGUAAGCAGACUAAAACAAAGGAUGCUACAUGCCCUUGAGGCAUAUUUGUUCCACUUCUUUCUCUGUGUUGUGUAAAGGAAAGUAACAGGAAAAAAAAUGUAUUUUUUUUCUGGUAGGGGAAAUAAUACAGCCCAAGAUUCUCAGAACAAAACAGCCCAGCUUUCAGGUGAAACAGAAGAGCGUGGAGUGAUUAAGCACUGGGAAUUCCUUAACUCAUGUUAAAUUAAGCAAUGUGCCCUUGCUUCCAGGAACAGCUUAAUGGUUGUUCUCAGGUCUUUGUUAGUACAGUAAGCGCAGAUAGUGCUAAUGAUUGAGAACGAGGCAGUCCUAUCAAGACGCUGCAGUGUAUCCUGAACUGCAGAAUAAGUCAUAUCUGUCAGUCAGCUUAGCAAACAAGUAAGAAAUUCUAUCUGGUGGGUUAGCAAAGCACUUGUCUUCCUAAUAAUAGCUGUGCUCUUGAAAGGUCCUGCUUUGCAGAACCUCUCUGCAAAGGUGGAGUGUGGACCUUCAUUGCUGAAUUUUUUAAGUAACAAAUAGGUCAAAUGGAAAGAAAGCAUCAUUACUUGUUUUCAGCUCUAGCAUUUAGCCAGUUUUCAAUAUCUAGCUGAUUGCUUUGUAGUUAUGAAUAGAUUUUUUUAAUGAAAAACUAUUUAUUUUUUCAAUAAUACACUUUUCUUUUUUUCCUGUGAUAGACAAGUUCCUCUGAACUCAGUAAAAAUCAAUCCCUGGAAAAUAAUUUUUUUUUUUUGUCCUCAGCUUUGCGCAGAAGGUUUUUCUUUUAGCUUUUUGACUUUGAUAUUAGACCACGUUUCUGAUCUCCUUUACCUUUUGUCUGCCAGUUUAUUCUUUCACGUAUGCAGUUGCACACAGCUCCUCCAGUUAUAAUUAUAACCUGUAAGUUUGCUGCAUUGGGUCUUCAGAGAAAUGCUUGAUGUUUGUAAUUAAACUUUGCAGCAUAACAUAUCUUGCAUAAAAGCAUCUAAUUGUUUCAAUUACCUGUUUUUAUAGAAUGAUGUUUUAUACAUCUUCUGUUUAUAAGCUCCCUUUAAGUACUGGAAGGCCACAAUGAGGUCUCCCAGAGCCGCCUUCUGGCUGAACAAGUCCAGGUCUCUCAGCCUUUUUUCAAAGGAGAGGUGCUCCAGCCUUCUGAUCUUCCUUUUGGACCUUCUCCAACAGCUCAGUGUCUUUCUUGUGCUCUGGGCCCAAUGCAAAACGGUCGGGUUUUGUCCUGAAAAUGGGGACAAAGCUAGGAGGAAAAGUCUACCACCUGCAUGUGAUAACUGCAACGAAUAUGCCUUUGGAAGCAAGUUGUCUUGUUCAAAGUAAAAUCCAUAAAACUCUAGAGAGGGAAGACUUUUGCGUAUUAUCUCAUGAAUACAAUGAGCUGGAGACAGAGCAUCCUUGGAAAGAGAAGAGAAUCCCACAGUUCACCGACAGCUCAUAGAAUACUACUUGUUGUGAAUUAAGGAAAGGUCACAUACCAGAUGGAUGGUGUUCUCCUUCGAAAGUGAUUCCUAGCUAUAAUCUAAAUGGAUUUUUGCUCCCUUUUUGUUAAGGGCAGUUUUCUCCUACAGUGUCUGGAAGAUGUCCUUCAGAAUCACACUUGAAGAUAGAGCAGUUUUACUUGCCACUAGACUUUUGUGGUGUGAAGGCAAGUUCAGAAAUUAUGUGGUUUGGUAAACCGAUGUAAAAAAGCGUCUACUUGUGAAUUCACUUGCAAUACCACAUUGACAGAACUAUUGUGGUUGUUUCCUUUGCUUGGAAGUAAAACCAAUCUAUUAGCGCCUGCAUAUUGGUGAUACCUUAGGAGAAUGUUUAGAAGCCUCCUCAAUCCGUUUCUAGUUUGGGGCAUUCACUAACUGAACUCAUAGCAAUCUACUACAAAUCAUCUAUACACCUCCCUUCUUGCUGUUCUCUAUGAUGAUGGCUUGUCACUCCAUAAUUACAUUCUCAAGGAUAUUUCCAUCUCUGCUCCCGAUGUGUCUGAAGUACAUACAUUUACACCUAUUCAUUUCUGACAACCAAGUCUACUUUUGUCCAGUAAUAUCUUUAAUAGGAGCAUUUAUCUUCUCUUUCUGUUCAAGAGAUAUGUAAGAGCCUUUACUUGCACCACACUCAAAAGCUUCAAUUUUCUCCCUGUCACUAUCAAUAAUUUCUCUGGAUUCGCAUUCAUAAAUUGCUACAGCAAAAAAUUAAGCAUUUUACCAGUUAAGACUUUCUACUGUUUGAGGUGAAAUGUUUUUUUCAGGCUUAUAUAAGGAAAGCCAUGGCUGAACCAGCUAUUGUUCAAAAUGUUACUGUUUCUAUUGGACAGAUUCAGAUUGGAUAUAUUUGAUCCCAGAUAACUGAAUUUAUGAACAGUCUCUGUAGCCAGACCAUUAAGUAUAAAGUUAGCUUAUAUUCUAUCUUUAUUAAGUAUAGUUAUUGGUGGCAUAUUCAAAAAUAGCUUGUUUUUUUAAUUAACUUCUUAUUGGCUGUGUAAUGUUUGCUGCACAGUAGAAGCAGUUGUGACAAAGAACAUGAAGACAUCAGCCUGUGGUCACUUAAAGUGAGUCCAUUGCAAAUACAGCUUUUCAAUUCUGAAAUGUCCUUCCCCAGUUUUAUUUAUUUAUUUAUUCCCAGCCAGGUUAUAAGGAAAUCUGCAGUUAUCACAUCUGUAAUUGUAGCAUAUGGCUAUUUAUGUUUACUUGAUAUUUUUUCAAAAUCAAGACAGAUUUGGGGAAUUUCUAAGUUUAUGGGACUGCUUUUAAAGGAAAUACCACUGAGAAAACUAGAAAGUUUAGCCCAUGGCAGCUACCUGCCAAGGAGAAGAUUAUAUGAGCAGUCUCCCUCUUCCCCCAGUUAGAUGAGGGCUGAUAUAUGGUUUGUUUAAAAAAUGAGAACUUGCGGUACUAAAGUUCUGAUUAAAAGGCUUCUUCAGGAGAAGUAUUGAUUAUAUUCGUGUUGUUGCUGUUCCUAAUUCUUUCACGGAUGCAAUGCCUUCUGCUUGCAGUAAAGAAAAGGAUGAUGCAAAACUUUACAAAUGAGUAUAAACCUAGAAUUUACCGUUAUGAUGAAACAAAGAGAUGUGAUAAAUGGAUGUCAAAUCUCAGAGCUGUAGUGUAAUGAUGGGGUCAUUUCAUCAUGAUGGAUAGAUACGUCGUGUAGUAUUCGGAGUCUUCAAAAAGGUUUUCAUUUAUCAUACUCGUGGAAGUGUUUGGGUAUGACCUGAAGCAAAAGAAUCAUUACAAUUUGCCUUUGAACAAACUCAGGAAAUGUAUUGAUCAUAUAGGUUUAUGCUGCUAGUAAAACAGCUAAUGAUGAUUCAGUCUAUGUGUUUUGUGCAUAGCUUGAGGAGAUGUUCAUUAAAACCUUACAUCAUGUGUGCCACUACACCCUUUGGGAACUUGAAUGUAAAAGCUGGAAUUUCAAAACCUCAUUAAGAACAAUUUGAGUUUACGACAAUGGAAUAACAUAUUUGAAUUCUGAAGGUGUGUGGCCAUAGGUGAGAGAGGAAACUACAUCAGAUGAUAUUUGGAGUAAAAGGAAUGCUCUAAUUUCUAAAUGUGCUGGUGCAUAGUGUUCAAUAACAGCAAUACUGGUCAAUAAAGAUGAUGACUGAAUUUAUUUGAGCUAGUGUUCAAAUGGAUAUUUAACAAAGUGACCCAUGAGUGGGUUUCUAAGGGGAGGACAGAACACCAGGAAUGGAGAAGAUGAAGCCAGAAGUAGGCUAGACAAGGCAAGAGCAAGCACAGAAGUGAGAAAGCAUGGCUGUGACCGAUGUGAAAGCUUAACAAUACAAAUGUGUUCACAGUAGCAAGACUGUGAACCAAAAAUUCGAUGUGACUGGGUAUAGGAAAGUCCAUAAUGGUAACAGUCACUGGAGGUGAUGAUACUGAAUGCCAGCAGAGGGACCGCUGUUUGAAAAGUGGACUGAUAUGUAUCUACUUACAAUUUUACCAGCAUCUAAAACACUAUUUAUAUCCUGUCUGAAAUUGGCAAGGCAGCUCAUGUGUUCUCCAUGUAAUGUACUGUAACUACACUGUAUCAAGCACGUAAAUGUUUGCUUUCUUAACUAUAUCAGUACUGUUCUUUUUAUCUUCCAGACACAGCAUAUUAUGCCUAAUCUUUUGUAUUUUCAGUUAAGCAUGGGCUAAAACUGUUGGCUUCAUUUAUCUGAGACUAUUAAAAUUGCAGACAAAGGCUUCAGCCAGCACGUGAACAUUCAAGUUGCUAAUUUAUAUGUACCUGACUUUGCUUAUGGGAUGCCAUUGAUCUAUAUCUGAUUAAUAUUUUUUAAAUUUCCUUUGAGAUCUGCUCAGCAGCCAUCUGUAAUCCAGCACGUGGAGAAGAAAGCUGAGGGAGUCAGUUUCUUCAUUCCUUUUCCAAGUCGUUUAGCUCUGACACUGUCGUAGUGCACCAGGCUUGAUUUCCCCAUAGCCCAUUGCCAGAUGCGAGAAGUGGGAACACAGGAAGAUGUAUGAAUGAGAUGAAGAAAUGGGAGGAGCCGAGAUGAACGCAUGUGGUAGGGAAUCUGGAGCUGUCCGAGCAUAAGGGAGUUUCAUAGGAGUAAAAAACCCAAGGAGAGAUGGAAGGUGAAAAGAAGAACCCUGAGUGAAUUGCAGGUAUAUUUUAAAUAUCGUUAUUUAUGAUCAACAAGUACACUGCUGCCAAAUUCAAGCUGAACUGAAGAAGCCAAAUUCUGCACACAAUACCGUGUGAUGUUCUGUUAUUUAUAAAACUAGUUACACAUACAGUUAAUAUUUACUUAAUACCAAAAUUCCUUUUUUAGUUUGCAUAUUUGGAAGAUACAAAAAAUCUUUUCUGCAACUGGCUGAAAGAACUUGCAAGAUUUUUACAAAUCAGAGCAUACUAUUAAUAUUCAAAUUUGAAAAGAGAUUGUCGUGGAUUUUUCCCCAUUUACAUAAGAAGGGGAGUUCCAGCUCAGCUGAAGACUUGCAUCAAAAUACUUUGGGACUUUUAUUUCUGCAUCCCUGCUCGAUAUUUUGAUGUUCCCAUGGUUAGUAAAUGUCUUCUUGCUGAUUGUAGUGAAGAGCAUGUGUGUGACAGUGGCAACAGUUGUACAACCAGGUGGUAGAACCUGCCAGCCACAAAACAGUGAACCUGGCUAUGCAGAGUUGACAGGUAAAUUAAAAAUCUUGAAUUGUGGAAGUGUUAUUUCUCUUAUAUCAAUUCUAAUAAUUGGUUUAAACAUAAUCUAGAUAGGGAUUUGCUUUUUAGAUGCCUUUAAUCAGUGCUUAAUUUGAAAAGUAAAUGUGUAAGCAGCAGCAAUUAGGAGGGUCCAAAAACAUUUACCAGGAGUCAUCAGAAGCAGACUGCAUAAUGCUGCUGAGGAAAAUAACUACCAACACGUGUAUGGAUGACAGGAAAAUUUGCAGUUUGUUUUUCUGCCAAGUAUUUAGUUUUACAUUUCUAUUCUUCAAUACUGUGUAGUAUAGAUACAUAUAUAUUAUUUUUUGUAAGUUGAAAAUUAUCAAGUUUAUAACAAAAAUGACGUGAGGAUAUAAUUCUUAUAAAGGUACCCAUUGUUCUCUCUAGCCAUCAUCACUGCACAAGAGAUCACACCUCAGUAAUGGAAGAGGUGCAUCGAACAAAUCAAUUGCUCCUCUUUCAAUGUUAUUUUAAGCUGUGUUUUUUCUUCCAGGUUUUGGGGAACGUAGGCAACAGGAAUCAAGUCAUUCAAAAGAGUUCAUUGUCCAUUUGAAGAAAGCUUAAACCUUUUUUACAUGCUAGUUGUAUUAACAGUUUUUUUUUUGUUUUUUUUUUUGCCUAUUUAGAUGGGCCCACAUCCAAAUUGCGACAUCCUGAAUUGUGUGUGAGCUAAAUCUGGUUACAGAUACAAAUCUGAAUAUCAUGAGCAGGGUGGAGUGGAGCUAAAGAUCUGACUCCCUCAGCCUCGUGACUUGGAUUUGACAUGAGUUUGGCAUGUCCAAGCUAACCCUGAUUUUUUUACCUGGCCCCUAAAUAAAUGGGAAACUUAAAAAGUUACUGUCAUGUUUUGUAUCUGAAACCAUAAGGUGGUCUUCAGCUGCCUGCAGUACUCUAAAUUUGAGUUUCUUUUGUUGCUGGUGUUAUGCACUGGGAAAGAAUGUGGCCCGGUUUCCAGUGACGGAGGAUGUGAAAUGGUAUAAAGUAGAAGUAAAAGGUGGAUUAUUUUGAAGAGACAAAAAAAAAAUUGCAGGAAAGGAAAAAAAUAUAUAUAUAUUAGUUCCCCAUUCAGCAGUGACCAAAUAACCAUGGAGCCAGUUUCCCAUUUAAGUAAUUGAUGUUCUGCCAUGUGACAGUUACACCGAGUCACAUACUGAACAAAGGAUUUCCUUAAAAAAAAAAAAAAAAAAAGAAAGAAAUGUAGUUUAUGCAGCUGUUUUUAAAUACACAACACUCUCUGCUCCCUUCCCCCAUCUCCUUGGCUUCUUGUUUCAGAGUAAGGAGUAGAGCACACAAGUUAUUCAAGUUUAGAAACUAGUUAGUGAAAUUGAAUUCAUAAAUGAGUGCUAGUGAUUUUAGACCAUAAAAUAGAUCCUAAUUUAUUUUUACAAGCAGCUAGAAUACCUCACAGAUGUUCAUGACUGAGGUUAAGCUUGAAGGUUGCUAUAACCAGACAGGUUUUUUUGUAAAGCUGGUGACUGAGGAGUAUCAGCACCACACGGGAUACACAUAAAAUACCUAUGCUUAUAUAGCACCUACUUAUAUAAUGUAGAGUUUUGAACUCAGAAAAUUUUUGUGAAAUAUGAAGGUCUGGGUCAGAUCUGUAUUUGGAAAUAAAGCCUCUAAAAGAAACUCUGCUGAAAGAAAGCAAAUAGAUCUUUAUACAUUUUGUAAUCUGGUGUUAGUCCCUGUGAGGAAAACAUUUAUAAAUCACUUGUAACUGGCAGGCUGUUAACUUCUGGUAAAUUAUUUGAUCAGACAAUGGAGUAGAGUCUUUCUUGACAGGUACUAGUGUUUGUUCACUCAGAUGAUGUUAAUAGGUUGCUGAAACUAAAAUUCAGGGUCAUAAUUAAUACUACAGCUACUUAGAAAUUCCAUUCUGCAGCAAGGUCCAACAUUCUAAAAUCUGUGAAUGAGAGCAAUAGAAGAAUUGACAUCCCCAGACUUCCAGGAGAAUGGAAACACUGUGGGGUUGUGGGUUUUUUUUUUUUAAAUCUGGAAUAACUAAAAAGUUGUAAUGAAUUUUUAGUUGAAAUAUUACAUGAUUAAAAUAAAACAUUAACUGAUGGCUUUUUAAACUUUUCUUUACAAUAAAAUCAAAUAAAAAUUUA